CUACUAAACUGGCCUAAGUAAUCUAUUGCACUCUAUGUUCAUAUGAAGUAUUUCUCUAGUACUUAACAAUGUACAAUGAUCAUGAUACAUACUGAUAUUCUCACAGAGCAGUCAUAAGUUGUCAACCUGCAGCUGUUCAAGAGGAACAUUAUGUUGAUCCCAAUACUCUUGGAGUGUCUGCCAAGACUAUGACUGCACACAGCCUCUCUUCCAAAUCAAGUUAUUAGGAGAAAAAUUUGAGGCAGUAAAUAAACAAUGCUUCAUUUUGUUGCUCUUGUACUUCCUAGUGAAGAAAAUUAACAUUCAAAACUGUGAACUGGUGCUGUUUUAUUUAUGCCCUUCCAAAGAAUACUGAAUUCUUUUAAUAGGUAAAAAAUAAAUUAUUAUGAGAAAAUGAGACAGCCAAUUGAACUGAUUUCAGUACACAUCUUGUACAGUUAUUUAUUUACUCCUGGAUGCCAGAUUCAUUCUCAAGCAGGGUUAACUUACAACAGAUGCUUAAAAUACAUACUUUCAAUCAUUUAGUUUGAUAAAUGUAUCACUUCUGCUCACAUGUUAUCCUCUUUCCUAAGAAUACUGUUUUCUUCUGAUGAGGAAUCAAAUGCUCUAUAUUU